AUUGAACGCUGGCGGCAGGCUUAACACAUGCAAGUCGAGCGGAGUGAUGGUGCUUGCACUAUCACUUAGCGGCGGACGGGUGAGUAAUGCUUAGGAAUCUGCCUAUUAGUGGGGGACAACAUCUCGAAAGGGAUGCUAAUACCGCAUACGUCCUACGGGAGAAAGCAGGGGAUCACUUGUGACCUUGCGCUAAUAGAUGAGCCUAAGUCGGAUUAGCUAGUUGGUGGGGUAAAGGCCUAACAAGGCGACGAUCUGUAGCGGGUCUGAGAGGAUGAGCCGCCACACGAGGACUGAGACACGGCCCAGACUCCUACGGGAGGCAGCAGUGGGGAAUAUUGGACAAUGGGGGGAACCCUGAUCCAGCCAUGCCGCGUGUGUGAAGAAGGCCUUAUGGUUGUAAAGCACUUUAAGCGAGGAGGAGGCUCUUUUGGUUAAUACCCAAGAUGAGUGGACGUUACUCGCAGAAUAAGCACCGGCUAACUCUGUGCCAGCCGCCGCCGUAA
rnacentral:rRNA from 1 species